rnacentral:rRNA from 1 species
CCGUAGCCCAAGAGAUCGGGAUAACACCUGGAAACAGAUGCUAAUACCGGAUAACAACAGAUGAUGCCUAUCAACUGUUUAAAAGAUGGUUCUGCUAUCACUCUUGGAUGGACCUGCGGUGCAUUAGCUAGUUGGUAGGGUAACGGCCUACCAAGGCGAUGAUGCAUAGCCGAGUUGAGAGACUGAUCGGCCACAUUGGGACUGAGACACGGCCCAAACUCCUAGGGAGGCAGCAGCA